rnacentral:rRNA from 1 species
AGGAUAAACGCUGGCGGCGUGCAUGAGACAUGCAAGUCGAACGGACUCCAGGCUUGCUUGGAGUUAGUGGCGAACGGCUGAGUAACGCGUAGGUGACCUACCCCGAAGUGGGGAAUAACUGCCCGAAAGGGUGGCUAAUACCGCAUGUGGUGAUGCGUUCAUUCGCUUCAUCAAAGCCGCAAGGCGCUUCGGGAGGGGCCUGCGUCCGAUUAGCUCGUUGGUGGGGUAACGGCUCACCAAGGCGACGAUCGGUAGGUGGUCUGAGAGGACGAUCACCCAGACUGGGACUGAGACACGGCCCAGACUCCUACGGGAGGCAGCAGUCGGGAAUUUUGCGCAAUGGACGAAAGUCUGACGCAGCAACGCCGCGUGAGGGAUGAAGGCCUUCGGGUUGUAAACCGUCUUUUUCUCAGGGACGAUAAUGACGGUACCUGAGGAAUAAGUCACGGCUAACUACGUGCCAGCAGCCGC